AUAUAUAUAUAUAUAUAUAUCUUUUUCUUCUUUGAUUCGGUUCUAUGAAUGAAGAUUUUGUAUAGAGAAAUAGUUAGUUCAUAAACCCUAGAAAGCAGAGUGAAUUGACAUUUUUGUUGCUUCCGCGCGGCUGCAUUUCACAUCCUUCCCCUAAGCGCCAUGGUUUUUCCUUUCUUCAUAUGCAUAUGUUUCUUCAGAUUAGAUAUACGUUCAGAUUUUGUUUAUAUAUUGAAUUGUUUUUGUUCUUAUAUGACUUGGAAUGAGUGUGAACACUUUAAUGGAUGCAGGCAUAAGAGAAGAAGCUUGCGAACCCUAUGAGGGAAAUCAAAGUGCAGAAGCUUGUCCUCAACAUCUCCGUUGGCGAGAGUGGCGAUCGUCUCAUCAAAGAGGUGUUUGAUGGAUAAAUCAAAGUGCAGAAGCUCCAUCCCUCGAUAGAUAAAUUGUCUUGCUCGAAUUGGUCUCUACAAAUCAAAGGAUUCUAGAUUUGGAGAUGGAAACCAAAUUAGGAUGGUGUGCUGUUAUUUUAGUGAACGUGCAAUCAGUUAUUUUGUUGAGUUAUAUGUGUACUAUUUUUUGCUGUGUUAUUUGCAGAUUAAUCUAGUGGGAUAUUGUUCUUACCUAUCUUUAAUGUUUUAUGCUUGUACUGAAGUGUUGACUUUUAACAAAUACUUUGUGAAUUCAGUCAGGAAACAUCAAGCAAACUCUCAUGUAAAAAAGGGAUGGAAACAAUUUACUGAUGCUGUUAUCAAAACAAUAUCACAGAAAAGGGAAGGUGUUGUUUUUCUGUUGUGGGGCAACUCUGCUCGGGAGAAAUCUAGAUAAUUUCUACAAAACUUGUUGAUGAGCUUGUAUUGAGUGCAUACUUAGGUUAAUUGAUGCAACAAAACAUCAUAUACUUCAAGGUGCACAUCCUUCUGGUUUGUCUGCAGAUAGAGGCUUCUUUGGGUGCAGGUAAGGUUGUUUUGAAGUAUAAUUUAAUCGUGUUAAUAUGGUAAAUAAUGAGCGCAAGAAGAACUUCUGAAUUGGUAAAUAAUGUACACAACACUACUGCUCUAUAAUAGGACUUGCAGAGUUCUAAAGUGGAAGUUAUAAGUGUUAGCAUCGUACUUGGUUGAUUAAGUGGAGAGUGCAAAUAUAUUUAGUCAUCACAGUCUAAAAUACAAACCUUCUUUUAAUCUCUUUCAUCAACUUGGCAUUAUUGUAUUAAAAUACAUUUUUCACUUUUUUUUCUACUCCACUACUGGUUUUCAUUAUUCAUCUUCAUGGCGGGUGAUCUAAAACAGUUGUUUCAUAUUCUGUUCCAUUGACACAUUGAGCCAUAUUUUGGUUUCCACUUAAAUAAACAGAGACGUAGAUCUCAUAUAAUACUAAAAAAUAUUUUGAAAACCACCUUAAUCAGUUAUCUAUUUAUCAUCCCCGUAAACCAGUUUUCAUGCUUACUUUCUUUCUUGUGUAUUCUAAAUUCAUCU